rnacentral:rRNA from 1 species
CAUGGAAGUUGAAACCCGCUAAGGAGUGUGUAACAACUCACCUGCCGAAUGGACUGGCCCCGAAAAUGGAUGGCGCUGCAGCGGGUGAUCGAGACCCGAUCGCUAGCGAAGCACAAGGGGCAAUAGCGUGUAGGAGGAUGAGCGCAUUGUGGAGGAGGCCAAGCGAUAGCGUGGCUCAAGCUGUGCGUUGUACAGAUCUUGGUGGCAGUAGCACUUACUCAAACGCGAGUUUUGAAGACUGAAGAGAAGAAGGGUUCCAUGUGAACAGCCUUUGGACAUGGAUUAAUCGGCCCUAAGUGACAGGGUAGCCCUUAGAAAGCAAGCCUUGCGCUGCUUCUCGCGAAAGGAAGGGUGGUCAAUAUUCCAUCAUCGAAGGUUGGGUAAUGCAUGGCAACACAAAUGCACGCGGUGACGCUGUCGCAAUCUCCGGGAAGUGUUUUCGUUUCUGUCUAACAGCUUCUUGCACCCUGGAAACAAAUUAAUUGGAGAUAGGGUCAAGUAGCUGGGAAAGUCUCCCGCGUCUCGGGGGAUCCGGUGUGUUUGCGGCAGUCCAUGAAAAAUCGCGGGAAGUGUUUAUUUUCGCCUUCGACCGUACCCACAACCGCAUCAGGUCUCCUAGGUUAGCAGCCUCUAGUUGAUAGAGUAAGGUGGCUGAGGGAAGUCGGCAAAAUAGUUCCGUAACUUGGGGAGAAGGAAUGGCUCUGAGGACUGGGUGUAAGGGUCUGUCAUCAGACGUUGGGACGCUGUGCAGAGCUUGCUAACUUGCUUCCGUGAGUUGGCGGGAUCUCGCACGGUUACCGACAUGAAGAUUUUAGAUUGGGGUUUCGGCCCAUUCCUUGCAUACUGAACAGCCAACUCAGAACUGGAGCGGACAUGGGGAAUCUGACUGUUUAAUUAAAACAAAGCAUUGUGAUGGCGCUAGAGCGUGUUGACACAAUGUGAUUUCUGCCCAGUGCUCUGAAUGUCAAGGUGAUGAAAUUCAAACAAGCGCGGGUAAACGGCGGGAGUAACUAUGACUCUCUUAAGGUAGCCAAAUGCCUCGUCAUCUAAUUAGUGACGCGCAUGAAUGGAUGAACGAGAUUCCCACUGUCCCCAGCCACCAUCUAGCGAAAUCACAGCCAAGGGAACGGGCUUGGGAGCGUCAGCGGGGAAAGAAGACCCUGUUGAGCUUGACUCUAGUCUGACUUUGUGAAGCGACUUAGGAGGUGUAGAAUAAGUGGGAGCGUCAGCGCCAAUGAAAUACCACUACUCUUAAUGUCGCUUUACUUACUUCGUGAAGCUGGAUCUUGCAGUGAGAGCUGCGAGUUGUGGAAUGAACGAUCUUCGUGAUCCGAUCAGUGCGGAAGACAUAGUCAGGUUGGGAGUUUGGCUGGGGCGGCACAUCUGUUAAAAGGUAACGCAGGUGUCCUAAGGUUAGCUCAGUGAGACCAGAAAUCUCACGUGGACUAGAAGGGGAAAAGCUGACUUGAUUCCGAUUUUCAGUGCGAAUACGAACUGUGAAAGCAUGGCCUACCGAUCCUCUACGUCUGAGGAGUAUUCAGCUAGAGGUGUCAGAAAAGUUACCACAGGGAUAACUGGCUUGUGGCAGCCAAGC